AUACGGAGGAUCCGAGCGUUAUCCGGAUUUAUUGGGUUUAAAGGGUGCGCAGGCGGCCAUUUAAGUCAGCGGUUAAAUCGUGGGGCUCAACCCCAUUCUGCCGUUGAUACUGGGUGGCUUGAUUGCGGUCGAGGUUGGCGGAAUUCGUUGUGUAGCGGUGUAAUGCAUAGAUAUGACGAAGAACACCGAUUGCGUAGGCAGCUGACCAGACCGCAAAUGACGCUCAUGCACGAAAGUGCGGGGAUCGAACAGGAUUAGAUACCCUGGUAGUCCGCACAGUAAACGAUGAAUACUUGUUUUCGGCGAUAUAAUGUCGGAGGCAAAGCGAAAGCGAUAAGUAUUCCACCUGGGGAGUACGCCGGCAACGGUGAAACUCAAAGGAAUUGACGGG
rnacentral:rRNA from 1 species